rnacentral:rRNA from 1 species
CCUAAGACAUGCAAGUCGAACGAAGGGACCCAAUGAGAUUUAUAGAAGUUUGGAGAGCUUGCUCAAAGAAUGGAAUAAAUCAAUUUGGAUCAUCCCUUAGUGGCAAACGGGUGAGUAACACGUGGGUUACCUGCCUUCAAGAUGGGGGAUAACAGUUGGAAACGAUUGCUAAUACCGAAUGUGAUCUACGGAUUAAAGAAGCCUUUAAAGCUUCGCUUGAAGAUGGGCCUGCGGUGCAUUAGCUAGUUGGUGAGGUAACGGCCCACCAAGGCGACGAUGCAUAGCCGAACUGAGAGGUUAAUCGGCCACAUUGGGACUGAGACACGGCCCAAACUCCUACGGGAGACAGCAGUUAGGAAUAUUCGUCAAUGGAGGAAACUCUGAACGAGCAAUGCCGCGUGAGUGAUGAAGGUCUUAUAGAUUGUAAAACUCUGUUGUAUGGAAAAAACGACUAGGUUAGGAAAUGAACUUAGUGUGAUGGUACCAUACCAGAAAGCCCCGGCUAACUACGUG